CGUAAAAAAUGAUAGCCUGCAGUUGCCUUCUUCAGGUGGCACGUCCGAACAGGAGGGAUGUCCAUGGUGGCGAGUAUGGAAUGCAGACUGGCACCGCGCGGGGAAAUUCCCCUCUGACAGACACCGGAGCCGUGCUGGCGGGUGAUAGGAAGCCUGGGGGCGCACGAAGAAGGCAGGCUGCGGGCUGUGUCAAUGAACCGAGAUGAGCGGCUGGAGGAGCAGCACUCGAGGUCUGCUUUAUGUCAUCUAAACGAUCCGUGCCGAAAGUGAAAAGUGCAGCUAUUCGCUUUGAGGCAGAAUCAACAGCUUCUGCCACAAAGUGUUUCCCCACUAAUUUAACGGCCAAACUCUUCCUCCCAGCUAGUUUUCGAUAUCCCGAGGCACCGCGAUUAUUACGACGUUUGCACGCUCCAGCUCCGAACCGCUGCUUGUGAGUACCCCUGAGUCAGCAGCCUCGCAGGUCACGCUAACCCUGCUCUUCCCCCGUACCGAUUUGAUCAGCCAGCAGAGUUUAUUGCGUGCAGCUGAAAGCCUUCAACCUCUUCUGUUCAUAGAAGGAGAAGAGUAAUGCGCGAUCCGCACACUGGCACCACGUGGGGUCCGCUCAGCGCCCGGCUGCUUCAGCUCACCGCCGCAGCGCUGUGUUGUACGUGUUCUUUCCCAAGCGUCGCCCAGCCCCGCUCAGCCAUCACAGCACAGGCCUGGAGGAAAAGAAGUUAGAAAGCAGAGCUGAUGAUGGACGUUUGAUUUCUGCAGCGUUGUGCCUGCUCGCAGAGAUGAUGUUCUCCACCUGCACGGCACGUAGCCCAAGCCACAGGACCGCUGCGUUUCACAGGAUGCGUAAGAGGACGAUGGAAGUGGGCUUCAGCUGAGGCAGCAUUAGCCUCCAGAUAACCGGUGAGAUUAACAAUGGAAUUUGGACCAGAAGUGCCAUGUAACAGACUGAUUGCUUGGAAUAUCCAGCCAUAUCUGUUGUAAGAGAAUUAAAUAAGCUGAUCCACUUCAUUUCUUGCUGAUUCAUCUGGCCUAGUAGCACCUGGAGAACACUAUUGUGCUAGAUGCGGUACAAACGUACAACAGAGAUGGUCCCUGCCCAUGUGAGCUUACAGCCUUCAGCCUAGCCUUUGCAUCGUCCUACUGCUGGAUUACCCACGCGUUCGUUCUCCUUACACACGUCUGCCAUCCAAGCUCUCUCGGGGCAAGGAGUUCAAACCCGCAAGUUUGAUUUCCUCAUUACCUCCAACAGAGAAAAGAUCAGGUAGGAGGGAAGUUUCACACAGCUGAACAACUUGCCCUUUCCUGAUGCGUAUUUCUCAAACUGACUGAGUCUUCAUGUGCUGUAGAUACCAAGCCUGUGGCCGAGCCAUGUGAGCUUCCUGAGAUCACUGUUGCUCCUCAAAGAGCUGUAGUUUCCUUGUUCCCAGUGUCCUCAGGGAGACAGAGGUGUUUGGAUAAAAG